rnacentral:rRNA from 1 species
UACGUAGGGGGGCAAGCGUUGUCCGGAUUUAUUGGGCGUAAAGAGCGUGUAGGCGGCCAGGUAGGUCUGCUGUGAAAACUCGAGGCUUAACCUCGAGAUGUCGGCGGAAACCAUCUGGCUAGAGUCCGGAAGAGGAGAGUGGAAUUCCUGGUGUAGCGGUGAAAUGCGCAGAUAUCAGGAAGAACACCCGUGGCGAAGGCGGCUCUCUGGGACGGUACUGACGCUGAGACGCGAAAGCGUGGGGAGCGAACAGG